rnacentral:rRNA from 1 species
UACGUAGGGUGCAAGCGUUAAUCGGAUUUACUGGGCGUAAAGCGUGUGUAGGUGGCUACCUAAGUCGAUUGUGAAAUCCCUGGGCUCAACCUGGGAAUUGCAGUCGAUACUGGGCAGCUCGAGUUCGGUAGAGGGUGACGGAAGUUCCCGGUGUAGCGGUGAAAUGCGUAGAUAUCGGGAGGAACAUCGAUGGCGAAGGCAAUCACCUGGGCCUGAACUGACACUGUGACACGGAAAGCGUGGGGAGCAAACAGG